AGAGCGAACGCUGGCGGCAGGCUUAACACAUGCAAGUCGAGCGGGCGUAGCAAUACGUCAGCGGCAGACGGGUGAGUAACGCGUGGGAACGUACCUUUUGGUUCGGAACAACCCCAGGGAAACUUGGGCUAAUAACCGGAUAAGCCCUUACGGGGAAAGAUUUAUCGCCGAAAGAUCGGCCCGCGUCUGAUUAGCUAGUUGGUGAGGUAAUGGCUCACCAAGGCGACGAUCAGUAGCUGGUCUGAGAGGAUGAUCAGCCACAUUGGGACUGAGACACGGCCCAAACUCCUACGGGAGGCAGCAGUGGGGAAUAUUGGACAAUGGGCGCAAGCCUGAUCCAGCCAUGCCGCGUGAGUGAUGAAGGCCCUAGGGUUGUAAAGCUCUUUGUGCGGGAAGAUAAUGACGGUACCGCAAGAAUAAGCCCCGGCUAACUUCGUGCCAGCAGCCGC
rnacentral:rRNA from 1 species